AAAACUAUUCGCCCAAGUACUACUCGCAACUGCCUAAAACUCAAAGGACUUGGCGGUGCUUCACAUCCACCUAGAGGAGCCUGUUCUAUAAUCGAUAAACCCCGAUAGACCUUACCAACCCUUGCCAAUUCAGCCUAUAUACCGCCAUCUUCAGCAAACCCUAAAAAGGAACAAUAGUAAGCACAAUCAUAACACAUAAAAACGUUAGGUCAAGGUGUAGCUUAUGGGUUGGAAAGAAAUGGGCUACAUUUUCUACAUAAGAACACCCACCAUACGAAAGUUUUUAUGAAACUAAAAACCAAAGGAGGAUUUAGCAGUAAAUCAAGAAUAGAGUGCUUGAUUGAAUAAGGCCAUGAAGCACGCACACACCGCCCGUCACCCU
rnacentral:rRNA from 1 species